GGUGGAAUAGCUCGGUUGGUUAGAGCACCGGAUUGUGAUUCCAGGUGCCGAGAGUUCGAAUCCCCGCUGGAGCACCA
rnacentral:tRNA from 1 species